GUGCCAGCAGCCGCGGUAAUACGAAGGUCCCAAGCGUUAUCCGGAUUUAUUGGGUUUAAAGGGUGCGUAGGCGGACUGUUAAGUCAGUGGUGAAAGCUCCAUGCCUAACAUGGAAAUUGCCAUUGAUACUGACGGUCUUGAGUACAUUUGAAGUGGGCGGAAUGUGUCAUGUAGCGGUGAAAUGCUUAGAUAUGACACAGAACACCGAUUGCGUAGGCAGCUCACUAAACUGUAACUGACGCUGAGGCACGAAAGCGUGGGGAGCAAACAGGAUUAGAUACCCUCGUAGUCC
rnacentral:rRNA from 1 species